GGCCUUAUUUCGUUGCAAGUAAUAAAUUGCUGUCUAUUGUUUAUGUGAAGGAAUGUAAAACUCAAUUCUGCCGUCAGUUUGUUAACGUAGCUUGAGCAUAAUACAUUGUCAACAAGCAAUUUGAUUUUAUGACGCCUCCCUUUCUUUUGCUUUUUAAAAAUGCAGGUCAGUUUGAACUACUAGUUGGUUACUGCAUAAAUGUUAGGCCUGUAGUUGCUAUGGCGAUGUGCCAUUAGCAGUGAGCAGGUACUCUCAGCAAUAGAUAUAUUCUUCCAUCAGGCCUGUCAAAAAUGUACCAGGCCAGUACAUUUGGCACCACGCUGCUAUAUUUUAACUCUGAAUCACAGUUUUCAGGCAGUGCCUGGCAGAACUAUUUUCGUCUUUUGUAUGUUGUGUUUCCUUGCUCACUUGACUGACGCCUAUAAUCACAUGAAGAGUAAGUGCACCUUGAGGAAUAAAAGGCCUUUUGUUGACAACUAAAUGGUAGGUGGGGGUUUGGAAUGAUAGACAGAAAAGUUACUGGGGUGAGGUUGUGGAAGGUUUGUGCAGGAGAGGAUAAUAUUGGUGUGUGUUUUUGCUUAAACCUCCCCCCCCCCCAAAAAAAACCCCCCUGGGAUACAGCACACAACGUCAUCAAGAAGGAUGCUAUUUAUCUAGAACAAAAACAAGUGUUACAAGACAGUAAACAAUGACUCUUUGUCCUGUGUCUGGAAUCUUUUAGUAUACUGCAGCUUUCCAUGUUAAAGACAUAUAUAUAUAUAUAUAUAUAUAGCAUUUGUGUAUCAGACAAGGUAUACUAUUCCACAUAUACAAGGUAUAAUUUAAAAUGCACUGAAACCUUCUAUACAGCUUUGAUGAAGUAUGUGUAUGCAUUCUUGCCCCUCUCUUGAUUGAAAAAAGUGCAUUAUUUAUGAACCCAAGAAAACCUUGACCAAUAUAAAUGAGCACGGCUUUGGAAAAUGCCUGCCUAUUUUGCUCCCCUUGUGAAUAUCAGUUCAAUUAGUUGCUUGCACACUGAUUCACAAUGGGAUCUUUCUGCCUAACACGAUUGCUGUUACUUGAGGGGGAAAAGCAACUGAUGUGAUUUUGAUGCCCAGUAAAGUGAUAGGUGCAGCGGUCCCUAUGUACAUUAACUCUUAAACAAGCUGAGCCAAGCUGAAUGUGGCUUACUCCCAGGUAAGUAUGCAUAAGAUUGCAGCUGCUUCACUUAUGAAUAUUUGUGUCCACUUAUAUAAAGGCAGAACACACACCUCGUAACCUCACAAGAUGAACCGUUGCUGAGUUGUAGCAGUUGAAAUUUCAAAUGGAGGAAUCAGAUAUUUGAAUGCUUCCCUCUAUCUUUAAAGUUUCCCUACAUAGAAAAGGAAGCAUCACAAGGAGAAGCCUAUAAUCCUAGGGGGUGGACAAUAGGACUAUUUCUUAUCUGUGUCACUUUUGAAUGUGUUCACCCAUAGUCUAUCCUAACCUGUUUCUGCAUCAAUUUUCGAUUUCAAAAGAAAUACUCAUCAAAAUUCACAUUUAAACACACAUUUCUAGAGAUAUUUCAGCAACACACAUUUUGAUGUGUUUUUGCUCUUGAAAUACACAUUUUAAAAUAUAUUUUGAACAAUAUUUGAACGAAGCUGUUUCACACAUGAAAUACAGUGGUACCUUGGUUCCCAAACGACUUGGCUCCUGAACAAAUCGGCUCCCGAACGCUGAAAACCCGGAAGUAAGUGUCCCAGUUUGUGAAUGUUUUUUGGAAGCCAAACGUCUGUUUUGGCUUUUUCUGGGGCCGAUCAGUCAACCAGAAGCCAUGCCUUGGUUUGCAAACGUUUUGAAAGUCAAACGGACUUCCAGAACGGAUUGAGUUUGGGAACCAAGGUACCACUGUACAUCAUUUGAUGUUGAAGUCAACACGUGAUAAAUAUGCACAAGUGACAUCAUUCCUUCAUCACAAUUUAUUAGCAGCAUCUUCUUCUCCCCUCCCACCAUACCAUUAUGAAGAAGGAAUCAGUCUUCCUGGCAGGUGACUUGCUGUGGCAUAAUGGGGGGCAAAAGAGCAGGUGGGCAGGUGGGCGGGCAAAAGGGCAGGUGAGUGGAUGGGCAGGAGGGCUGGUGGGCAUUUAAUUGCCAUGCUAACACACCAGCAGAGGCAAUCCAGCACUCCUGCUGGUGCAUUUGCACCAAGUCACCAUGCCCAUCCCUGGAUACCACAAAGACCUACCUGCCAAGAAGCUAGUAUAGUGGUUUCACACGACUUGUUGAGCACCUUCUGGUGCAACUUUUGUUUAUGCAAAUGCUUCUAGCUCACAGAUGUUCCCAGCUCAUUUCUGAGAGCUGAUAUUCUAGUGUAGAAAUUUUCCCUUACAGAUAUUGACAUCUGCAUAAACUUAUCUGCACUGCACAAAUUAUUUUGCUUGCAUCACAACUGUAGAGCAAGAAAUCUCCAGCAGCACCAAAGGACUCAAAUGUGUAUUUUAUUGACUUUCAUAAUUUUUUUAGUUCCUUCAUCCUCUCCUCUAUAUGGGAGUAUAAUUAUAGAAUUGCCCAGCAGAGCAAGUACCCCAAACUUUUAACAACAACAGCAACAAUUUUUAUCCCUUUACUCUUUUUACACUGUGGCACAGCAUACAACAGUCUAUGUCUUUACAUGCCCCAUAUACAGCAUCAGGUGCAGAGCAGGUGAGUAUAGCUUUGGAGAAAUGGCCUUGUGGGCCAAAUUAGAACUCUGCAUGGCCUAAUUUGGCCAGUUAGCCAGAAGCUCCCUAUGCAGACAUUUUCACCGUGUAGGUGAAGCGGUUAAGUACUCUGCAUUAUCUGAACCAUAUUUAGUGCUCAAAGAUAAGCUGCUAAAGAAGUACUGAAAACAGGCACAGCUUUUAAGCAGUCUAUCAAGCUGGAAAAAGAAAUGUUUAGGAAGGGUACCAAGGGAGCAGGACUGAAAUCAUACAUCCAUAAACUUUAAGUACCACAGUGCGGCUUUAUGUAAAAAAAAAAAUCUAAUAAACCCUAUUUUCCCCCACCCCACCUUGGUUCAGGAUCAGCAGCAAGGUUCUAUCUGUGUUCAUUUUCUAAAUCAUAUCCAUGUCACACAUACCCAAAUAUCCACGUAAACGUUUCCUCCCAGUACAUUUCUGAGCACAGUUCAAAGUGUUGGUGCUGACCUUUAAAGCCCUAAACGGCCUCGGUCCAGUAUAUCUGAAGGAGCGUCUCCACCCCCAUCGUUCUACCCAGACACUGAGGUCCAGCACCGAGGGCCUUCUGGCGGUUCCCUCACUGCGAGAAGCAAAAUUACAGGGAACCAGGCAGAGGGCCUUCUCGGUAGUGGCGCCCUCCCUGUGGAACGCCCUCCCACCAGAUGUCAAAGAGAACAACAACUACCAGACUUUUAGAAGACAUCUGAAGGCAGCCCUGUUUAGGGAAGCUUUUAAUGUUUAAUUUACUACAGUAUUUUAAUAUUUUUUUGGAAGCCGCCCAGAGUGGCUGGGGAAGCCCAGCCAGAUGGGCAGGGUAUAAAUAAUAAAUUAUUAUUAUUAUUAUUAUUAUUAUUAUUAUUAUUAACAUACCAUCAGGAUCAGCACGAGGGGUUAGCAAGUAGGAAAUUCUAAACAUAUGUUUUAUUCCUAAAAAGCAACUUUUGAAAGGGGUUACUUGAAAUGGGAAGUCAGGUGGGGCACGGGGGGGGGGGGGGCUAUAACUCUUUCUCAAGCAACCACAUACUUUGCAUAACUAGCAAAUGAGGUGCAUAAUAUGUAAUUAAUGCCAUCUAGCUUUAGAGGGACUUGAAUAUGGCAAUCCUACCCUAACCCGCCAUGGAGCUGAGCAUUGUACUUCGGCAAACCCAGUCCAAAUGAAGCUUGCUUUGUGUAUGCAUGUGUGCAUGAUCAAUUUUUAACAAUAAGGCUCAUUAAAGAAGGUUUAUGUGUUGCACCAUUAUAACCAGUUGCUGUCCGGUGUAGCUGAAACUAAUGUCUAUGGAAAAAACCUGAAGAUAUUUAAUGGAUUCUUAUGGUGGCAGAUGAAAUUUGAGAUUCAUCAGAAGCAAAGCACAUGAAUCUGAUUUGCAAAUUCGGAGCAGAGGGGAAACAUUAGUUUCUUCAGUGCUGUAAAAGCUACAUACUGCUUCAUCAUAACUCAUUGCAUUGGAGAUGGAGACAGAAACAUUGAAAGAGUUACUUGCUUUAGAUCAUCAUCCAGAUAAAUGUGUUCCAUUACAUGCAGGCCUUUGGAUGGUGAGCAUCUCCCUACAGGGUAGAUAAAUCUGUAUUUGGGCAGUCUGUUAAAAAUACAUUAACUAUUUUAAAUGCAUCAUUAGGCAUUCUUUUAUUGCCUUUACCUAUGGACCUUACAACUCAAUAUGCAGUAAAGAAAAAUGUAGGAAUUAACAAUGAACAUUUCUAUAUGUGUUAUGUAUGGGUAUUGAUUUUUAAGCCAAUGAAUGUAAUUAUAUUAAAAACUAUGGACAUCAGCAGAAAGUAAUGAAUUUGUUUAUGUGAGCAAAGAAGCUGUCAUCCUGUUCCAUCAGUUCUUUAGCAGAGGCUCACUAUUAACCAAGCAUCAAGAAAUCAUGGAGGGAAAAAUGGCUGUAUUAUCUCAUUAAUGCAAAACUUUUGCAUUUUUUUGUAUUUACAACAUAACCCCAUAUACAGGGCAGAGUAAAUCAUUCCACUGAAAUUUCAACACACAACUGGUUCAAUUUUACUCUCUUAUCUGCAUAUGUAUAAUUCUGAGUUUACUGAUGUGGUUUCGUGUGUAGCGAUCACACAAGAAAUUUCAUGAAGCUCAUCAAAACUGCUUUUGUUUCUUCUUUUCUUAGAAUGCCCCAGAUUAUUAUUAACCAAGCAGAAACCUCCCACCCAGCAUGUUCCAUGACAAAGGGGAAAUCAGUGCUUUUCAACAUGUCAUUCUGUGGGUUGCAGCAUUACACUUUGAAUCUCUCACUAAAUUAUUCCUGUAUUUCUAGGUUGGAUUAACCACAGUAAGGUUUCAAUCUGGUUGAAUCAAUUUAGUGCCCACAUCCCAAAUGUAUUGAGACUUGUAUUUGUAGAGUGGAUUGCCUAUGUCUGAUAAAACAUGCAUAACAAAACAUAUUGUCUCUCCCAAAAUCUGUGCUAUAGCUUUCAUUGUUGCAUUGCAGGGACAUAACAUCUCAGCGACCAAACUCCUGUGCUGCUGUUUUUUAAUCAUCCAAAUAUGACACGGAUCCUGAAUUGCACUGCAAUCCGACAUCAAAGCAGUGAUUCAGUUCAAUGGGGAGCAAUAGAUGCUGCACAGAACACCAUGACAGGCUUGCAAGACACGCCCCCCUCUGAGAGCCAAUGAGCAUUGUGAUGGAAGCAUAAGACAUUUUGCUGCCUGAGGCAAAGGACAAAAUGACACCCCACUCCUUCUGUGUACAGAAGAUGUCCAGAUUGGUAGGUGAAUCUAACUUCAACACUGGCAAUGGUGAAUGGAUAGCAUUCUCCAUUGCACCCAAGGGCAGCAAGCUAGGUUAGGGGAAACAUGGCACGCUGUGUGGCAGGAACAACUCCACCCUUCAGCAUUUGCUGCCACUCUCUGCAUGUCAACAUCUGCCUGAGGUCGCCACUACACUCUGUGAAGACCUCCUUCUACAUAGAACAGACCUACCAAGUUUAGUUGUGGCCUGGGCAGGCCAGUCUUCCUGUUAUAUACCUGCUGGGAUUGACAGGGCAUAUGACCUUCACCUGGAUCUCAUAGCUCUCCUGACAGGUGAUUUGGUUCAGCCACAGUGUGGAAAUAAAGGAGGAUACACACACUCUAUUAUUCAAAUUAGGCCCCAGUGUUUUUCUUACAAUCCCCUUCUCAAUGAAUUAAUCACAUUUAAACUAGCAUGUAAAUUCUCAAAACUUUCUUAUUUGUUAAUUCGAGCCGCUACUGCUCUCACUUCAUUACAAGCGUAUUUCUACCUGCAACACACUUGAGCAAACCUGCUCCUCUUCCUUUCACAGAUAUUUUGUUUCCAUUUGCAACUGUAGCUGCCUCUGAUUAGUUAUCAUUUAACUCUUUGAGGGAAAUUAACAUCAGACGUCAUGUGCAUGGAAGUUGCCAAAUCAAUUAACCAACUAGAAGGGUUACUGUUAAUAGCACCAGUUUUCCUAUAACUUGAUAUUGCUGGAUAGUUCUGAUGAACUACAAAAGUGUUUUUAGAUUCAGGUAGGUAGCCGUGUUGAUCUGACGCAGUCGAAAUAUAUAAAAAUAAAAAUAAAAAA